rnacentral:rRNA from 1 species
AGCAGCCGCGGUAAUUCCAGCUCCAAUAGCGUAUAUUAAAGUUGUUGCAGUUAAAAAGCUCGUAGUUGAACUUCGGGAUUUGUCCAUUGGUCAGGCUUAACUGUCUGUACUGGUGUGACGAAUUCCUACCUUCUGAGGAACUUUCAUGCCAUUAAUUUGGUGUGAGGGGAAAUCAGGACUGUUACUUUGAAAAAAUUAGAGUGUUUAAAGCAGGCUAACGUCUGAAUACAUUAGCAUGGAAUAAUAAAAUAGGACGGUUUGGUUCUAUUUUGUUGGUUUCUAGGAUCACCGUAAUGAUUAAUAGGGAUAGUUGGGGGCAUUACUAUUCAAUUGUCAGAGGUGAAAUUCUUGGAUUUAUUGAAGACUAACUACUGCGAAAGCAUUUGCCAAGGAUGUUUUCAUUAAUCAAGAACGAAAGUUAGGGGAUCGAAGACGAUCAGAUACCGUCGUAGUCUUAACCAUAAACUAUGCCGACUAGGGAUCGGACGAAGUUAAUUUUUUAAUGACUCGUUCGGCACCU